rnacentral:rRNA from 1 species
UACGGAGACUGCGAGCGUUACUCGGAUUCACUGGGCGUAAAGGGUGCGCAGGCGGCUAAUUGUGGUCAGGUGGUGAAAUCCCGGGGCUUAACUCCGGAACUGGCGCCUGAAACUGGUUGGCUAGAGACUCGGAGAGGUAAGCGGAAUUCCAGGUGUAGCAGUGAAAUGCGUAGAUAUCUGGAGGAACACCAAAGGCGAAGGCAGCUUACUGGAAGAGUUCUGAGCGCUCAGGGCACGAAAGCGAUGGGUAGCGAAAGGGA